rnacentral:rRNA from 1 species
CCUACGGGAGGCAGCAGUGGGGAAUAUUGGACAAUGGGGGCAACCCUGAUCCAGCGACGCCGCGUGAGUGAAGAAGUAUUUCGGUACGUAAAGCUCUAUCAGCAGGAAAGAAAAUGACAGUACCUGACUAAGAAGCCCCGGCUAACUACGUGACAGCAGCCGCGGUAGUACGUAGGGGGCAGCCGUUCUCCGGAUUUAUUGGGUUUAAAGGGUGCGUAGGGGGAAGGUUAAGUCAGCGGUCAAAUGUCGGUGCUCAGCACCGGCCUGCCGUUGAAACUGGUCUUCUUGAGUGAGCGAGAGGUAUGUGGAAUGCGUGGUGUAGCGGUGAAAUGCAUAGAUAUCACGAAGAACUCCGAUUGCGAAGGCAGCAGACUGGAGCGCAACUGACGCUGAGGCACGAAAGCGUGGGGAGCGAACAGGAUUAGAUACCCGUGUAGUC